UUCUAUAGCUGUUCUUUGGGAUUAGCAAGUGGAAGGAUCAGGAAGGUCAAGGAGGAAUCCUCUACUAAAUAGUAAAGUCUGUCAAGAAGCCAGAAGUUAGCCAUUGAGGUGGAGGAAGCUCUGGUGGUGAACUCUGAUAAUAGAGCAGGUUCUAGAAUUCUGGGGGAGAGUUCUGGGAGAUGUCAAGUGAGGAACAGAGGGGUGAAAGGUCAAGCUUAAGGAGGGCAGAUGUGGGUUUAAAUUUCCUCUUGUGGUUUGGGAUUUACUGGGGGAUUCUGAGGAAGCAUCCUGGCUCUAAAAACAGGGUAAACUUAGAGAGGUAGUGAGAAAAGACCACAAUCAGGAAGUAGUCCAGGGAAGUGACAGCAAGGAGUUUAGCAGAGUGAACCUGUCCUGAGGCCCUACAGUGGGGCUCAACAUAGAUCGUGGGACUGGGUUCACCUAUCAGCCAGGGCAUGAAGCCUGGAGAAGGAAAUAAGAAUUAUGGAGAGCCCUGAGAGAAGAAUGUGUGAGGAUUAAGAGACACAGAGGGCUGAAGGCAUUUAGCCACCACCAGCACCUGCAUGUUAAACACAGCAACUGAAAUGAGUCCAAAGUAUUACAGACCACAGAAGAUUAAACUAUUGUCACAGGCUUCUACAAUGGCAGCUUGGAAAUCACACCUAGCAGUUCUUCAUUGUUGAGUGCAACUGCCCAGCUGACCAUGCCAGCUACAUGCUCCAGACGCAUUCCUGCCUGAGGUACACAAAAGAUAUUGGAUCCCCUGGGUCUGUUGGGAGAGAAGCCUGUGCAGGCACAGCACCAAACCAGCCAUAGCAACAUUGGCAUCUAUAAGCAGAUUGCUCAGGGGAUGCAGGAGAAAGAGCUAUGACAGGAACCAGCAGCAAUGCUGUGUGAAAGCCAAGGAGCAUACCAGAAGGCCAGGAAGGCCAAAAAUCGAUCUGGGGCCAAACUGCAGACCUGCUGCUUUCACAAGAAGCUGCCACCCUAGACACUUCUAAGGAGCCUGAGCAAAGGGCCUGGAAGAUGAACAUGCAGACAGGAUGAACAUUGCAGACAGCCUAGAGAAGGAAAGAGUGGAGAGUAGAAAGGCCCUUGAGUCCCAGCAAGAAAGGGAGAAGGUGAUGCACCAGGACAUACCCUCCUCCUCACCUAUCUGCCGCAGCUCAUUGAGAGCUCAAUAUUGGGACCUCCCUGUGCCCCCUAAAAUGUUCUUAUUUGACAUCAAGGGUUGCUGUACUACCUCUACCACUCCACCCGGGGGGACAUUAAAGAAUAUUACAGCUUCAUAUACACGGACAUAUGGAAGCCACAGUUGGUGUAUGUGUAUCUGAAAUAGACAUGCAGGUUCUUUCCCCUUCACAAGUUCUG